rnacentral:rRNA from 1 species
UAACGGGGGGGCAAGCGGUUGUUCGGAAUUACUGGGCGUAAAGGGCUCGUAGGCGGCCAACUAAGUCGGACGUGAAAUCCCAGGCUCAACCUGGGAACUGCGUCCGAUACUGGAUGGCUUGAAUUCGGGAGAGGGAUGCAGAAUUCCAGGUGUAGCGGUGAAAUGCGUAGAUAUUGGUGAAGGAACACCGAGGCGGCAGGA